rnacentral:lncRNA from 1 species
AAAAGCAGGUGCCUCUUCGAUUUCUGAAAUCGGCCCUCGUGGUUGUUGAACAACAAAAAUAUACAACAUAAAAAAAUAGAGUCCAUACAAAUUGGGUCAGGCUACAAGGCAAAACAAAGAUGUAAACCAGCCCAAAAGUUAAGAAUGGGCUUUACAUACAAACCAAAUAUCCAUAAACAAAUAAAUAAAAUAUAAAAUAAGGAAAAUUUCCUACAAAAGGGGGAAGCAAUAAACAGGUUCUCCCUUUCCUGCAACAAAAAAAAAACGUGGGGUCAGUUAAGAGAGGUUAAGAAGAGAGUGGCAGGAAGUCAUGCCCUCCAUCUUCCCCCCACGUAACAAGCUCUAGAACCCUCCUAUGAUGCCUAUAAAUAGGCAUCAGCUGCAACGAGAAAGAAAAAGAAAGGGGAAACUCUGCAGAAAAUAAGAGAAAUUUUGAGAGAAAAUACCAAGAGCAACGAAGUGCUGCCAGGAAAGAGAACGAGUUCAACCAUUCGUGCUUUCAAGUCAAGAUUAAAGAAGAACAUUCAUCACCAGGUAUGAAACAAGUUCUAUUUAAAUUAUUAUUUUUCUCUUGUUAUGUUGCAGAAAGAACAAAAUGAGAGCAGAGACCACAGCAAAUAAAAAAGCAUUGCAGCAGCACACAAAACUGAAAAGCAGCAGAGAAACAAAAAAAUGAGGAAAGGGAAACAAGCAAAGGCAUAUAAGGCCUUUGUCUCUUUGUUUGGCAUUCUUCACCAAUCAAAUGGAGGUGGAGACUCUGAACAAUCCACCGACUCCCCACAAACUGCAGCAGAAAUAAUCUCCAAGAAUCCCAUGAAUUUCUUCGGGGUGGCCUAGACCACCCCGUGAAGUUUAAACCAAGUCUAAAUGGUCUACCCCUUUGCCAAAUUGUCAAGUGCAGUUUCAAAGUUCUAUGCUUAAGUCCCCGAGAAGUAAGACAGCAAGGAGGCAACAUAUACAAAGAUGCAACUCAAGAAAGAGAAGAGAAAUUAUUCUGUUUGGUGUUUUUGCUACCCACGGGUACAAAGCAUUGAGGAUGCCUUUGGCUAAAAAUUAUAUGAAAACUUAUUGGAGAUAGAGUCCAAGAAAAAGGAGAAAAUGGAAAAGAUGGUUUGCAAACUUCCCUUGACCGACUCAUGCUUGGAAAUUCCCCAAUUCAAGAAGAAAAGUAGGAAAAUAUGCUCUAAAGAGAGUGACUAAACGAAGAAAAGUUUUCUGUAAAAGCUAAAGAAGGUGGUUAUCAUGUUUGGAAAAGCUAAAGAGAGUAAGUGCAUGUGUUGACAAAUAAACAAAGGAAAAGAAAUAAAAAAUUUUGAUAAUGACAAAAGAAAAAUCCCCAACACAACCUUGAUAAAGACAAAGAAGGAAGGAGACGUGAAGAAGGUUCAAAGCCUUGAAAUGCUACAAUUGUGUCAAAGUUUUGAUUAAACAUUGUGUCAAAGCUUUGACCAAAAAAAAAAGACAUUGAAAUGCUACAAGACAAGGAAAGAAAGGGAAAAUUUCCCAAUCUUUAAAUGGACAAGCAACCUUCUUUGUCAUGUGAAGAUGGGACAAAGAUUUGUCAAAAUUUUCACCUGCUUCUCUUCCAUAAACAUUUAAAAGAGGGUUCAAAGCCUUCUUUGCCACGAGAAGAUUAAAAAAAGGUUCAAAGCCUUUAUAUUAAACACUUGCCAUCCCAAAUUUACAGAGAGGGAAAAGCUUACUGCCAAAUUUCCCAAAUUAUUUGGGAAACCCAUUCACAUGGUAACCUUUGUAUUAAACACCAAAAAGACUUGGUAGACAAAUCAAAACUACAGAAAGAUUUUUGGGAAAAGGUAUCAUAUUGUACAAAUGUUAAAGAGAAAAUAUGGCAAGAAUGGGAACACAAAAAAGGUGUCCAAAUGCCACUGUCAAGGCCAGUCAAGUAAAAUCUCUUUGUGGAAACAGAAAUACCAGAGUGAUAAUCACACACAAGUACAUCAGAACUCAUUCAAAAUAUGGCAGAUAUUAUGAGUAUGUUACUACAAAUUUCAGAGUACAAACUCUCACCUUUGGAGCCAUGAAUCAACAAUUGUCUUCGACUAACUCGAGGCUGCAAAAUGGUUUUGUCCAACAACCAAUCGAAGAGAUACCGUUGCCCGGGACACCUGCACGAAAGAAUUGACAAGUUCAUUGCAGUUAAAAGCUUCAUUUCACUCUGAAUACACAAACAAAUUCAGAACAUAAAAAAAAACAAAAAUGGGUAACCUGCUUAACACCCCUGCCCUUUUCGUCUCGAGCCUGCGAUCCACGAAAAAGAAAAGCACAAGUGGCAAGAAACAAAAGAAUGAUGCAGCAAAAAAAUGAAAGUUCCGUGACCUGCGCAAAGAGGGAGCUCUGCAAAUUGGGGGGAAUAGUGGAAAAUUGAAGUAAUUUGAAUAAAGAAUCUGAACUCCAACAAACCUUACCCAUUCUCGCUCUGAAAUCAACAUAUACCCAAUCCAAGUAGAAGUUUAAAGCAUAACGAAAUUCACGGGAGCCCAAGUAUAUCGAAAUAAGCUUUUUGCUUCUGGGGGGAAACCACCGGGUUUUUAGAGCUAAGAGAAAGGGGAUCGCUGAAGCAUCUCACGGGGGGUGUGAAUCCUAAUGAAGUCUGCACCUUACGUGGCUCACGCGGAGAGCAAAAGAGAGUCAAUACCCUCCACCGAAAUUAUGGGUUGUAUUUAUAAAUUAUAAUUAAGGAAUGGACACAAACUGACAAGGUCACGGGACAAAGAAAAUAAAACAAGGAAAAUAAGAUGGGCAACCCAUCUCAUGAUACCAAACAAAAAAUAGAAGAAAAGAAGUCAAAGCACUAUCAAGUUGGUGAAUGUGACGUGGCAAUUAAAAUAUCCAAUUCUUUUGCCAAAAGUGGAGUAUAUCCAAAACCAUCAAAAUGC